ACGGGAGGCAGCAGUGAGGAAUAUUGGUCAAUGGGCGGAAGCCUGAACCAGCCAAGUCGCGUGAAGGAUGAAGGUAUUAUGUAUUGUAAACUUCUUUAGCUGUGGAGCAAUAAUCGCCAUGCAUGGCGAGAUGAGAGUACACAGAGAAUAAGGAUCGGCUAACUCCGUGCCAGCAGCCGCGGUAAUACGGAGGAUCCGAGCGUUAUCCGGAUUUAUUGGGUUUAAAGGGAGCGUAGGCGGUAGAUCAAGUCAGCUGUGAAAUAUAGGUGCUCAACAUCUGGACUGCAGUUGAAACUGGUUUACUUGAGUGCGUAAGAGGCAGGCGGAAUUCGUCGUGUAGCGGUGAAAUGCUUAGAUAUGACGAAGAACUCCGAUUGCGAAGGCAGCUUGCUGGGCCGCAACUGACGCUGAAGCUCGAAGGUGCGGGUAUCGAACAGGAUUAGAUACCCUGGUA
rnacentral:rRNA from 1 species